rnacentral:rRNA from 1 species
GAUGAACGCUGGCGGCGUGCCUAAUACAUGCAAGUCGAGCGAACAGACGAGGAGCUUGCUCCUCUGACGUUAGCGGCGGACGGGUGAGUAACACGUGGAUAACCUACCUAUAAGACUGGGAUAACUUCGGGAAACCGGAGCUAAUCCCGGAUAAUAUAUUGAACCGCAUGGUUCAAUAGUGAAAGUCGGUUUUGCUGUCACUUCUAGAUGGAUCCGCGCCGCAUUAGCUAGUUGGUAGGGUAACGGCUUAUCAAGGCGACGAUGCGUAGCCGACCGGAGAGGGUGAUCGGCGACACUGGAAGUGAGACACGGUCCAGACUCCUACGGGAGGCAGCAGUAGGGAAUCGGCCGCAAUGGGCGAAAGCCUGACGGAGCAACGGCGCGUGAGUGAUGAAGGUGUUCGGAUCGGAAAACUCUGUUAUUAGGGAAGAACAAAUGUGUAAGUAACUAUGCACGUCUUGACGGUACCUAAUCAGAAAGCCACGGCUAACUACGUG